CCUACGGGAGGCAGCAGUGGGGAAUAUUGGGCAAUGGGCGCAAGCCUGACCCAGCAACGCCGCGUGAAGGAAGAAGGCUUUCGGGUGGUAAACUUCUUUUCUCAGGGACGAAGAAAGUGACGGUACCUGAGGAAUAAGCCACGGCUAACUACGUGCCAGCAGCCGCGGUAAUACGUAGGUGGCAAGCGGUAUACGGAUUUACUGGGUGGAAAGUGCGUGUAGGCGGGACUGCAAGUCAGAGGUGAAAACCACGGGCUCAACCUGUGGCCUGCAUUUGAAACUGGAGUGCUUGAGUACUGGAGUGGCAGACGGAAUUCCUAGUGUAGCGGUGAAAUGCGUAGAUAUUAGGAGGAACACCAGUGGCGAAGGCGGUCUGCUGGACAGCAACUGACGCUGAGGCGCGAAAGCGUGGGGAGCAAACAGGAUUAGAUACCCCUGUAGUC
rnacentral:rRNA from 1 species